rnacentral:rRNA from 1 species
UAGAGUUCGAUUAUGGCUCAGGAUGAACGCUGGCGGUAUGCUUAACACAUGCAAAGUCGAACGAAAGUUUUUCUAACUUUAGUGGCGAACGGGUGCGUAAUACGUGAGAAUCUACCCUUAGGAGGAGAAUAACUGCUGGAGACGGUUGCGAAGUCUCCAUAUGCCGAGAGGUGAAAUAGUUUGUACUGCCUAUGGAUGAGCUCGCGCCUGAUUAGCUUGUUGGUAAGGUAACGGCUUACCAAGGCCACGAUCAGUAGCUGGUUUGAGAGAACGAUCAGCCACACUGGGACUGAGACACGGCCCAGACUCCUCCGGGAGGCAGCAGUGAGGAAUUUUCCGCAAUGGGCGAAAGCCUGACGGAGCAAUACCGCGUGAGGGAUGAAGGAUUUUGGUCUGUAAGCCUCUUUUCUCAAGAAAGAAGUUCUGACGGUACUUGAGGAAUAAGCAUCGGCUAACUCCGUGCCAGCCGCCGCGGUAAUUCA